UUGCCCAUCUAAGUCUUAUUAUGUCUUGGAUGACUAACACAGAAGGGUAGAGCAGUUUCUCACUAAAACACAAAGCAAAUGCAUUAUCAUUGCUUUGGAUCCUGUCGUGAGGAACAUAU